rnacentral:rRNA from 1 species
AGAGUUUGAUUAUGGCUCAGAUUGAACGCUGGCGGCAGGCUUAACACAUGCAAGUCGAGCGGAAACGAUGGGAGCUUGCUCCCAGGCGUCGAGCGGCGGACGGGUGAGUAACACUUAGGAAUCUACCUAGUAGUGGGGGAUAGCUCGGGGAAACUCGAAUUAAUACCGCAUACGACCUACGGGAGAAAGGGGGCAGUUUACUGCUCUCGCUAUUAGAUGAGCCUAAGUCGGAUUAGCUAGAUGGUGGGGUAAAGGCCUACCAUGGCGACGAUCUGUAGCUGGUCUGAGAGGAUGAUCAGCCACACCGGGACUGAGACACGGCCCGGACUCCUACGGGAGGCAGCAGUGGGGAAUAUUGGACAAUGGGGGGAACCCUGAUCCAGCCAUGCCGCGUGUGUGAAGAAGGCCUUUUGGUUGUAAAGCACUUUAAGCAGUGAAGAAGACCUAACGGUUAAUACCCGUUAGCGAUGACAUUAGCUGCAGAAUAAGCACCGGCUAACUCUGUGCCAGCCGCCGCGGUAAUAC